AUUGAACGCUGGCGGAAUGCUUUACACAUGCAAGUCGAACGGCAGCACGGGGGCAGCCCUGGUGGCGAGUGGCGAACGGGUGAGUAAUACAUCGGAACGUGCCCGGUCGUGGGGGAUAACGUAGCGAAAGUUACGCUAAUACCGCAUACGAUCUGAGGAUGAAAGCGGGGGACCUUCGGGCCUCGCGCGAUCGGAGCGGCCGAUGUCAGAUUAGGUAGUUGGUGGGGUAAAGGCCUACCAAGCCGACGAUCUGUAGCUGGUCUGAGAGGAAGACCAGCCACACUGGGACUGAGACACGGCCCAGACUCCGACGGGAGGCAGCAGUGGGGAAUUUUGGACAAUGGGCGCAAGCCUGAUCCAGCCAUACCGCGUGCAGGACGAAGGCCUUCGGGUUGUAAACUGCUUUUGUACGGAACGAAAAGGCUCUGGCUAAUACCUGGGGCUCAUGACGGUACCGUAAGAAUAAGCACCGGCUAACUACGUG
rnacentral:rRNA from 1 species